AUGAAGCUUCUCCAUCCUGUAGGCCUCCUGCUCUCUUGCUCCUGUCUCCUAUUAUGCGCAGUCGCACCGGUGAGAGCGGACACCUGGCGUGAAGCUGAAGCACUUGUGAGGUGGAAGGCUAGCUUGGCCGGUGCCAAUGAGUCCCUUGGGCCAUGGUCGAUGGCCAACUCCACCAGCCUUUGCGAGUCGACGCACAUCACCUGCGACCUGGCCGGGCACAUCAUAGAGCUCAACCUUGCCUACACAAGUCUGAACGGCACACUUGACAAGUUAGACUUCUCAGCCUUUCCCCACUUGAUGAGUCUCACCCUGAUCCGGAAUGGUCUAUUCGGUACGAUUCCAGCAGGGAUUAGCAACCUGACGAGCUUGGUCACGCUGAGGAUCAUGCAGAACCCGUACUUAAGGGGGCGCAUUCCACACAGCAUUGGACAGCUGAAGCAACUUUCUGUACUGCAACUGGAAGAAUUGGGGCUCCAUAGUACACUACCUGAAGAGAUUGGCAACUUGAUGAGCUUGAUAAUGCUCAAUAUCAAUUUGGUUACUUUGCCAGGAUCGAUCCCACCAACAAUUGGGAUGCUCAUAAAGCUCCGCGAGCUGAGUCUGAUAGGCAAUAAUUUGACAGGGAGCAUCCCAAUGGAGAUAGGAAACAUGACAGGACUGCAGAAGAUAGACCUUCAUGAGAACUAUUUGGGAGGGCAGCUGCCAGGUACCACCUCUCAUCUGGUCAAACUCCAGUAUUUGCAUCUGUCAGAAAAUCAGUUGGUAGGUCACAUCUUCCCCGGGCUUGGGAAUAGCAGCCUCUUAGAUAUAGUCGAUAUUGCAAACAACAACUUCUCUGGGUUCUUCCCAUCAUCCAUUGGCGUAGGAGGAGCGCUGCGUGUGGCCAGUGCUAGAUACAAUGGAUUUACGGGUAUUCACCAUCAGACAUUUCAAAACUGCACAACCCUACAAGAAGUUGACUUCACGGCAAACAACAUUGUCGCAGAGCUGAGUGACUGUUUUAGUGAGCAUCCAGGACAGCUUACCACCAUGGCUUUCAGUCAAAACCAGCUGCAUGGCACGCUUCUCACAGAUCGGGAUCUUGGAGGCAAUGACUUCUCUGGCACAAUACCUUCUUGGGUAAGCAUAAGUUUGCCCGAACUCAUCUUUCUUAGACUGUCAUCAAACAUGUUUGACGGCAUCAUACCCCAGGAGAUCUUACAAUUUCGCCAGCUCCAGUUAUUGGACUUGUCAAAAAACAAGCUCAUUGGACCUGUUCCAGACGAUUUUAGUAAUUUUACUGGCAUGACAGAAGAACAGAGAAGGUACCCUGACAGCAAAUUUUAUCAAGUGCAAAUUCAUAUAGUUUGGAAGAAUGUGGAUUAUGUUUACCAUCUGAGGAUAGCAGCCAUGGUAGCCUUCGACUUAUCAGGUAGUAACUCUCUUUCACAAGAAAUCCCAAAUGGGCUCACGACCCUUCUUGGACUGAGGUACCUGAACUUAUCAGGAAAUCAUCUGUCAGGUUGUAUUCCGGAAGACAUUGGCAAUCUGGUACGGCUCCUUGGACCUCUCACUGAACCAGCUCUCAAGCAAUGGUUUGUCAGGGAGGAUACCUACAGUCAAUCAGCUGCAGACACUUGUAGACCCAUCGAUAUACAGCAAUAG
rnacentral:rRNA from 1 species